rnacentral:rRNA from 1 species
CAGCAGCCGCGGUAAUACGUAUGUCACAAGCGUUAUCCGGAUUUAUUGGGCGUAAAGCGCGUCUAGGUGGUUAUGUAAGUCUGAUGUGAAAAUGCAGGGCUCAACUCUGUAUUGCGUUGGAAACUGUGUAACUAGAGUACUGGAGAGGUAAGCGGAACUACAAGUGUAGAGGUGAAAUUCGUAGAUAUUUGUAGGAAUGCCGAUGGGGAAGCCGGCUUACUGGACAGAUACUGACGCUGAAGCGCGAAAGCGUGGGUAGCAAACAGGAUUAGAUACCCCUGUAGUCCCUGUCUCUUAUACA